CACGUAGGGUGCAAGCGUUGUCCGGAAUUAUUGGGCGUAAAGAGCUCGUAGGCGGUUUGUCGCGUCUGCUGUGAAAACCGAGGAGCUCAACCUCGGCCGCCUGCGGUGGGCGAGACUAGAGUGCGGUAGGGGAGAUUGGAAUUCCUGGUGUAGCGGUGGAAUGCGCAGAUAUCAGGAGGAACACCGAUGGCGAAGGCAGAUCUCUGGGCCGUAACUGACGCUGAGGAGCGAAAGCAUGGGGAGCGAACAGG
rnacentral:rRNA from 1 species